rnacentral:rRNA from 1 species
AAUAGAUACCCUGGUAGUCCAUGCCGUAAACGAUGUCUACUAGCCGUUGGGGCCUUUGAGGCUUUAGUGGCGCAGCUAACGCGAUAAGUAGACCGCCUGGGGAGUACGGUCGCAAGACUAAAACUCAAAUGAAUUGACGGGGGCCCGCACAAGCGGUGGAGCAUGUGGUUUAAUUCGAUGCAACGCGAAGAACCUUACCUGGUCUUGACAUAGUAAGAACUUUCCAGAGAUGGAUUGGUGCCUUCGGGAACUUACAUACAGGUGCUGCAUGGCUGUCGUCAGCUCGUGUCGUGAGAUGUUGGGUUAAGUCCCGCAACGAGCGCAACCCUUUUCCUUAUUUGCCAGCGGGUUAAGCCGGGAACUUUAAGGAUACUGCCAGUGACAAACUGGAGGAAGGCGGGGACGACGUCAAGUCAUCAUGGCCCUUACGACCAGGGCUACACACGUGCUACAAUGGUCGGUACAAAGGGUUGCUACCUAGCGAUAGGAUGCUAAUCUCAAAAAGCCGAUCGUAGUCCGGAUUGGAGUCUGCAACUCGACU